AUUGAACGCUGGCGGCAGGCCUAACACAUGCAAGUCGAACGAGUGGCGGACGGGUGAGUAAUGUCUGGGAAACUGCCUGAUGGAGGGGGAUAACUACUGGCAACGGUAGCUAAUACCGCAUACCAUCAGAUGUGCCCAGAUGGGAUUAGCUAGUUGGUGGGGUAACGGCUCACAAAGGCGUCGAUCCCUAGCUGGUCUGAGAGGAUGACCACCCACAUUGUAACUGAGACACGGUCCCGUCUCCUCCGUGAGGCAGCAGUGGGGAAUAUUGCCCAAUGGGCGCAAGCCUGCUGCAGCCAUGCCUCGUGUAUGAAGAAGGCCUUCGGGUUGUAAAGUACUUUCAUCGGGGAUGCGUUACCCGCCGAAGAAGCACCGGCUAACUCCGUGCCAACAGCCGUGGUAAUAC
rnacentral:rRNA from 1 species